ensembl:lncRNA
UGUGUGUGUGUGUGUGUGUGUGUGUGUGUGUGUGUGUGUGUGUGUGUGUGUGUGUGUGUGUGCCUGAGUGCUCAGGGGCAGGAGUGUUUUUGCCAACCCACUGAUAUCCAUCUUUAAUCAAGAGAGCUAGGAGACAAAUUUACAUGAAACCCUAUCAGAGAUAUGUACAUGCUACACAUGCCCUGGAAGAGAGGUGGUGCCUGAGGAGAGGUGGUGCCUGAGGAGAGGUGGUGCCUGAUGAGAGGUGGUGCCUGAUGAGAGGUGGUGCCUGAGGAGAGGUGGUGCCUGAGGAGAGGUGGUGGUGCCU